ACUCCUACGGGAGGCAGCAGUGGGGAAUAUUGGACAAUGGGCGGAAAGACCUGAUCCAGCAAUGCCGCGUGAGUGAUGAAGGCCUUAGGGUUGUAAAGCUCUUUUACCGGGAUGAUAAUGACAGUACCGGGAGAAUAAGCUCCGGCUAACUCCGUGCCAGCAGCCGCGGUAAUACGGAGGAGCUAGCGUUAUUCGGAAUUACUGGGCGUAAAGCGCACGUAGGCGGCUUUGUAAGUAAGAGGUGAAAGCCCAGAGCUCAACUCUGGAAUUGCCUUUUAGACUGCAUCGCUUGAAUCAUGGAGAGGUCAGUGGAAUUCCGAGUGUAGAGGUGAAAUUCGUAGAUAUUCGGAAGAACACCAGUGGCGAAGGCGGCUGACUGGACAUGUAUUGACGCUGAGUGCGAAAGCGUGGGAGCAAACAGGAUUAGAU
rnacentral:rRNA from 1 species